GCCGGUUGGGCAGGGUGUCGAGGCAGGACGGCGCCACCGGCCGUCGCGACGGGAGGAGCUUCAUGUUGCUGCGGGUUCGAAUCACCCUGCCGGACC
rnacentral:tRNA from 1 species